rnacentral:rRNA from 1 species
CAGUCGUGCUGGCGCGAAAUCAACCCGCCCGUUGAGCGAUCACCUGCUGUGGCGAGCCUCAAAACCGCCACGACUCGUGAUCGCUUAAUGGUCUGGUGCACUUUUGUGUCGGCUGGUUAACGUCAAUUUCUCACGUCAUAAAAAGGCUGGAGGGAUGUGGCUCCUUCGGGAGUGUUAUAACCUUUGGCGGAAUGUGACGUUUGGGAUUGAGGAUUGCAACGAAUACCUUUAGGGCUGAUCCACCUGGCCUCUCGUUGGCAUCCUGGCGGCGACAGCUUGCUGACGUCGUUAGGGUCCGCCUCCGAACAGGCUAGAGUGUGAGCAAA